AUGAAAGUUACAAAAGUUACAGAUGCACAAAUAUCAUACCCCCAAGACAUGCUAACUUCUCACUAUUACAGGGGCGGUCAGCACUUUUGGGAGGUAUGAUAUUUAUGUAUAAUUUUCAAAUCCAAAGUGCUUGAGUACAGAGCCAAAACAACAAAAAAUGUGUCACUGUCCCAAUACUUUUGGAGCACACUGUAGGAAUAGACAGUACAGGUACAUCAAAGCUGGGACCGAAAGACUGAAAAACAGCUUCUAUCUCCAGCCUCCGCCCAGUACCCUGCUCUGAACUUAGUCACUGUUACUAGCCGGCUCUCACCCGGUACGCUACGCUGCAAUUUAGAGACUGCUGCCCUAUAUAUAUAUAGUCAUUGAACACUGGUCACUUUAAUUAUGUUUACAUACUAUAUUCUAGUCAAGGCUCAUCCUACCUACUGCUAACUACACCUACUGUCUAUACACACCAUUUCAUAUAUGUAUACUGAACAAAAAUAUAAAACGCAACAUGUAAAGUGUUGGUCCCAUGUUUCAUGAGCUGAAAUAAAAAAAUCCCAUAAAUUUUCCAUUCACACAAAUCUUAUUUCUCUCAAAUUUUCAGCACAAACUUGUUUACAUCCCUAUUAGUGAGCAUUUCUCCUUUGCCAAUAUAAUCCAUCCACCUGACAGGUGUGGCAUAUCAAGAAGCUGAUUAAACAGUGUGAUCAUUACACAGGUGCACCUUGUCCUGGGAACAAUAAAAGGCCACUUCAAAAUGUGCAGUUUUGUGUCACAACGCCACUGAUGUCUCAAGUUUUGAGGGAGCAUGCAAUUGACAUGCUGACUGCAGGAAUGUCCACCAGAGCGGUUGCCAGAGAAUGUCAUGUUCAUUUCUAUACAAUAAGCUGCCUACAACAUCAUUUUAGAGAAUUUGGCAGUAUGUCCAACUGGUUUCACAACCACAGACCAAGUAUAACCACACCAGCCCAGGACCUCCACAUCCAGCUUCUUCACCUGUGGGAUUGUCUGAGGGGGGUGGGUAUGGGGGUGCUGAGGAGUACAGUUGAAGUCGGAAGUUUACAUACACUUAUGUUGGAUUCAUUAAAACUUGUUUUUCAACCCCUCCACAAAUGUCUUGUUAUUAACAAACUAUAGUUUUGGCAAGUCGGUUAGGACAUCUACUUUGUGCAUGACACAAGUAAUUUCUCCAACAAUUGUAUACAGAUAGAUUAUUUCACUUAUAAUUCACUGUAUCACAAUUCCAGUGGGUCAGAAGUUUACAUACACUAAGUUGACUGUGCCUUUAAACUGCUUGGAAAAUUCCAGAAAAUCAUGUCAUGGCUUUAGAAGUUUAUGAUAGGCUAAUUAACAUAAUUUGAGUCAAUUGGAGGUGUACCUGUGGAUGUAUUUCAAGGCCUACCUUCAAACUCAGUGCCUCUUUGUUUGACAUCAUGGGAAAAUCAAAAGAAAUUAGCCAAGACCUCAGGUUUUUUCACCCCGGUGCUACACUUCCGCUCGGACGCAUCUAUCCUCUGUCUGGGGCUGAGACCCAGGCCAUGGAGGAUUACACUACCGUUCAAAAGUUUGGGGUCACACAGAACAGUGCAAACUGGCGCUAACCAGAAUAGAAAGAGGAGUAGGUGUUUUGCGAGUACUAUUUAAUGAAGCUGCCAGUUGAGGACUUGUGAGGUGUCUGUUUCUCAAACUAGACACUCUAAUGUACUUGUCCUCAGUUGUGCACCAGGGCCUCCCACUCCCUUUUCUAUUCUGGUCAGAGCCAGUUUGCGCUGUUCUGUGACGGGAGUAGUACACAGCGUUGCAUGAGAUGUUCAGUUUCUUGGCAAUUUCUCACAUGGAAUAUCCUUCAUUUCUCAGAACAAGAAUAGACUGAUGUGUUUCAGAAGAAAGUUAAUUGUUUCUAGCCAUUUUGAGCCUGUAAUCAAACGAAUGCUGAUGGUCCAGAUACUCAACUAGUCUAAAGAAGGCCAGUUUCAUUGCUUCUUUAAUCAACAUAACCAUUUUCAGCUGUGCUAACAUAAUUGCAAAAGCGAUUUCUAAUGAUCAAUUAGCCUUUUAAAAUGAUAAACUUGGAUUAGCUAACACAACGUGCCAUUGGAACACAGGAGUGAUGGUUGCUAUAAUGGGCCUCUGUACGCCCAUGUAGAUAUUCCAUAAAAAAUCUGCCGUUUCCAACUACAAUAGUCACUUACAACAUCAUUAACAAUGUCUACACUGUAUUUCUGAUCACUUUUUAUGUUAAUGGUCCAAAAAUUUGCUUUUCUUUCAAACAAGGACAUUUCUAAGUGACCCCACACUUUUGAACGGAAGUAUACAUUCAAAAGGCGCUCCAACUGGCUUUCACCCAUGUCCCCUGCGUCGGCUGGUUUCUUCUUCGUGGCCAAAAAGUAGGGAGGAUUACGCCCAUGUAUCGAUUACCGAGGACUUGACAUCACUAAGAAGUAUCGGUACCCUCUCCCGUUGGUGCCAUCGAGCAGCUGCGCGGGGCCCAGUUCUUCACCAAACUGGACCUGCAGAGUACCUACAAUCUCAUCUGCAUCUGGGAAGGGGAUGAGUGGAAGAUGGCCUUCAGCACGAUGUCUGGUCACUAUGAGUAUUUGGUUAUGCUCUUUGGCUUAGCCAAUGCUCCGUCAGUGUUCCAGACAUUCGUCAACAAGAGGUUCAGGGACCUGUUCAGACGGCAGGUGAUUGUAUACAUCGACGAAAUCCUGAUCUUCUCGACCAACCUGAAAGAUCACUUCACCCACGAGCAGUCCUGCAACGCCUCUUGGACAAUCACCUGUUUGUCUAGGCGGAGUUGUGCCAAUUCCACCAGAGGGCGGUAUCCUUGGGUUACCAAAUCAGCCCACAGGGAGCUGAGGAUGGAGGAUAGGAAGGUGGAUGCGGUAAAGUCAUGGCCAGUCCCAACCACCAACGGGUUACAAUGGUUUUUGGGGAUUGACAACUUCUACCGCCGCUUCAUCAGGAACUUCAGUGCCGUCGCCACCCCUCUCACCUCACUUAAGUGUGUGCCUCGUAGGCUGGCGUGGUCCCCCGCUCACCUCCUCCUCCUUGCUAAAACACCCAUAUCCCACACUACCUUUUGUGGUUGAGGUAGACGCAUCUGAGGUGGGUGGGGGGGCAGUUUUGUCACAAUGACAGGGUAACCCAAUGAAAUUAUAUCCUUGUGCUUUUUUUCUCUCCAAGAAACUGUCCUGCGCAGAGAGGAAUUAUGACGUUGUGGAUCGGUAGCUCCUGGUGGUGGAGACACUGGCUGGAGGGCGCCAAGGAACCAUAUGUCAUCCUCUUCGACCAUCAGAACCUAGAGUACAUACGGACAACGAGGAGACUGAAUCCGCGUCAAGCCAGGACUUUUUUUCCCACCAGGUUCGACUUCACGCUGAUUUAUCGCCCAGGUUCUAAGAACAUAAAGGCCAAUGCUCAGUCCCGUAUCUACGAUUCGGGAGAGGUUCCUGUCCAGAGGGCACCCAUAAUCCCAUCCUCCCGAGUCGUGGGUCCAGUGGUUUGGGAUGUAGACGUGGACAUCUGCCAGGCUCUAGAGGGAGCCCGCACCCCGGAAUUGUCUUCCUGAGCGCAUCUACGUGCCUACAGGGAUAAUGGAUCGGCUUGAUGGACCCCCAGAAUGCUCCAGCAGGGAAGCUCCUGCCACUUCCUGUGCCUCAGGGACUUUGGUCACAUCUAUCCAUUGGUUAGUCAAUCAUCCUCCCUCUGAUGGUUUCACCCCCAUUCUGGUGGAUAGAUUUUCCAAGUCCUGUCGAUUUAGUUCCUGGUCUCCCCACUGCUCUCCAGGUUGCUGAGCCACUCUUCUGGAAUUAUGACCUUUCGGAGGACAUUGUCUCUGACCGUGGCCCCUAAUUCACAUCACGAGUUUGGAGGGCCUUCUUGGAGAAGCUUGGUCACGGUCAGCCUCAAUUCCGGGUAUCGGCCUCAGUCCAAUGGGCAGGUGGAGAGGAUGAACCAGGAGCUGGGGAGUUUCCUGAGGAGUCACUAUCAUGACUGGCAGGGUGAGUGGACACGAUUCCUUCCCUGGGCAGAGUAUGCCCACAACCCCCUAGGUCACUCCUCCACUGGGUUGACCCCCUUCCAGUGUGUUUUGGAUUUUCCAGCCGGAGCGCGGCUCCUGGGGUAGAUGAGUGGUUCUAGCGGGCGGCGAAGGUGUGGAGCUACACGCACGUGAGACUCCAGCGCAUCGCCCAUCGUCAGAAGGAACAGGCAGACCGCCACCACAGUGAGACCCUUAUGUUCCAUCCUGGGGACCGCAUCUGGCUCUCUACCAGGAACCUCCCACUCCAGCUGCCCUGCAAGGUUCUCCGGAGGUUCAACGAGGUGACAUACACGUUACAACUACCCAGUCACUAUUGUAUUUCACCCAGGUUUUAUGUCUCUUCUCAGGCUGGUGGUUCCUGGUCCCCUAGCUUAUACUGUCCCCCAUAACACCACCCCACCCCCGGAUAGUGAGGGGAGUCCGGCAUACGCCGUCAGAUCCCUACUGGACCCCCGACAUCGUGGGGGUCGGCUCCAGUAUCUGGUGGACUGGAAGGGGUAUGGUCCAGAGGAGCGGUGUUGGGUUCCGGUGGAGGACAUUCUGGACCCCAACAACAUCUGUGAUUUACACCUUCGCCGCCCGGACCGACCGCUCCUCUGUGUCGUCCCUCUGGUCGGCGUUGUCCUACGGCUGGAGCCGCGUGUCAGCGGUGGGGUGCCGUUACAUCUUUUCCUGCUCCUCCCCUCCGGCAUGCGACGUCACCAGAAUAGUAACCACCGGUCCUGGGAUUCAUCAUUACGCACACCUGUUAAUCAUUAUGAUUCACACCUGGACUUCAUUACCCUCAUUUCCUCCCCUUUUUAUGUCACUUGCUUAUGUUCACUCACCAUUUGGUAUUGUUCUUGUGUACCGGCUUGUAGACACAUGGAUUUGUCUCAUUUUUGUUUUAUUAAACGUUGCACCUGCUUCCCGACUCACCGCUCCAAUAUUACACAAUCUGCCAAGUUCGAUAAUGUUUUCGUACUUAUCAUGGCCCUAGUGUAUUCAUUAAUCCAAACAGUUGCUAAAUGGAAGUUGGACAUUUCAGGUGGGUCCCUCCCCGUUUUGUUUGCUAACGUUUUGAAACAAAAUUGGUGUAAUAAAUAAACCCCCUGCUCCAGUACACUUUAACCAAUGAGCUAUACACUGUACAAAACAUUAGGAACUCAUGUUCUUUCCAUGACAUACUGGUGAAAGCUAUGAUCCCUUACUGAUGUCAUAUGUUAAAUCCACUUCAAUCAGUGUAUAUGAAGGGGAGGAGACUGGUUACAUGAGGAUUUUGAAGCCUUGCCAUGGAUUGUGUAUGUGUGCCAUUCAGAGGGUGAAUGGGCAAGACAAAAACUUUAGCUAAGUGCCUUUGGACGGGAUAUGGUAGUAGGUGCCAGGCACACAGGUUUGUGUCAAGAACUGCUACGCUGCUGGGGUUCACCUAACACCUUUUUUUUUAGCACUAUUGGUUAGAGCCUGUAAGUAAGCAUUUCACUGUAAGGUGUUGAUUCGACACACGUGACAAAUAAACUUUGAUUUGAUUUUCACACAAGUUUCCUGUGUGUAUCAAGAAUGGUCCACCACCCGAAGGACAUCCAGCCAAAUUGACACAACUGUGGGAAGCAUUGGAGUCAACAUGGGCCAGCAUCCCUGUGAACCGCUUUCAACACCUUGUAGAGUUGAAGGCUGUUCUGGGGUGAAACUCAAUAUUAGGAAGAUGUUCCUAAUGUUCUGUACACUGUUAUAUUAACGGUUUAAACCAAUCAUGUCCGGAGGAUUGAAAUAAAUUGCACUAACUCAACAGAAAUAAAGUUCUAAAACCAAGAAAACAAUAUAAUCUACCUCCAUCUCCUGUAGUUUGACGAAAGUAAUUUGAAUGUAAUAAUAAUAAUAAUAAUAUUAAUAAUAUCCUAAAAAUGCAAAAGUAUCUCAAUCUUUAUCUAUCCAACAAUCUUACCAACUCACCAAGCUUCUAAAUCACACAUGCCCACUUUGAUUGGAUGGACAAUAUGUCAGUUCAUACUGCAAAAGCUUUGAUUGGAUGGAGGACGUCCUCCGGAGGUCGUCAUAAUUACCAUGUAGGUCUAUAGCUCUAUUCACACGAGACUAGUAUUACUAUAGAACGUCGGUUAUGUAAUUAUUACCCCAGUAUUUACGGUGGACGAUUCAGACGAUUUAGUUUUACCAAACUGCCCCUGUAAAAAAUAAUUCCUCUUUCAAAAUGUACUGUUAUGACGGAAGCCUGUAGGCUCUUCAAUGUGUGAAGACUUUUUAAAUGUCUAGCCUAAUAUUGGUCUAAUGGCCUUCAGUUCAAAGAGUCUAAAUAAUGCAUAUCGAUAAGAACCAUGAACGGUAACCUAUGCAGACAUUUAAUUAGCUGAUGUAUUUGGCAAUCUGUCAAUUCAUUGGCACAAUAUUGUCCACUUACACUUUUUAAAAGAGAAGAACUGCAUUAGGAAAGCUUGGCAAAACAGUUAAUUCAUCUGUAGGCUAUGUGGAUAGCACUUUAUUUUAAGCAUGAAUUUGUUCCUAUGUUCUUACCCAAACUGGGUGCAGCACCUGUUUUAAACUGUAAUAUCCCUCAAAACACAGAGAUGGCGAUUCGCACGGGACAAGUAUUAUCAGGGGACCUGGGAGUUUGCUGAAAAACAGUAGGUUUUUAGGGCCGGGAUAAUAACCUUCCUGCCAAGUAAAAAUUACUGACAUGGCAGAUUCUGACAGGUGUCGUAGCUGAAUCAGAAGUAGUUAAGUAACAUAGAUAAAUAAGAUGUUUUAUUUAUUUUAUACUUAUCAUUAGAAUGUCUUCUUUUGGACUAUACUGUUGGCAGUUGCAUUUUCCUUUCUUCUCUAGGGAAAAGUCACUUGGGGCCCAGAGAGGGGAGAGGUCAGGCUUGUCUUUUACAUGUCUGGUAAUAGGCAGAAUAUCAGAAAGGGAGAAGUCAGGUUUGAACAUUGUCUUUCAUAGGUGAAUAUAUCUGUGAAACCAUGUGAGGGCUCCACUAUGUCUGUACUCCAGUCACUCCCUCAUUUUCCCAUUGGGGGGAGGAGUAUGGCAUUGUCUGGAACCAUUAUACCACCCCUCUGAUGUUGAACUUAUCUUUCAUAGUAUAUGACCUAGAGGUUCACUCCCCUUAGUGAGCUUCUCCAGGAGUGGGGAGAAGAGAUGGGAGUAUCUAGAAUUGACAAUUGAUAUAUGCCAUUGGAUGAGGUAAUGUUUUGGUACUACGAAGUACCAAGAAAUAGAAGUAGAACCUCGCCCAAGAGACCAAACUGAAUGAUAAUUUAUAGCUAAUGCUAUCUGGCUAUGGGAUACUCCUCUUUCAAGUAAAAGGCCCUUUGUGAAGUUCCUAAGAUCUGUGGUUCGUCAUGUGAGUUGAGAGGGGUGUAUCUUGGCUAUUGUAAGCACUCUCAGAGAAUUCAUUUAUAGACACUGAAUUUAUCUGAGAGUCAAAGGGCUAUGGUGAAGCUCAUAUAAUUAAAGAUGGACUUUAAAAUAUAACUCUGACUUGUGUGUGGUUUGUAAACUCUCUUCAUUUAGUAAUACAGGAAAUUACCACGACACAGGACUCAAAUUAUGGAUGUGGCGAUUUGUGCUCGUGCACACGAUUAUAUUACCUGAGCUCCCCCAGUAAAUAUUAUCCCAUCGAAUAGGGUUUAUGGAAGGGGAUGAGAAGCACGAGCCUCGUAUAUAUAUAUAUUUUUUAAGUCUCGUAUUAAAAAAUAAAAAUAAAAAUUGAAGUCAACGUUCCGGAAAAUAGCUUUAAUCCGGCAACACCAUGAGGGUGCUGUUGAGACUACUGUAGACCUUCACUGCAAAAGUGUUUCAAUCAGGUAUUUUUUAAUUUAAGCUUUAUUUAACUAGGCAAGUAAUUUAAGAACAAAUACUUAUUUACAAUGACGGCCUACCCCGGCCAAAUCUGAACAACGCUGGCCCAAUUGUGCGCCGCCCUAUGGGACUUCCAAUCAUGGCCGGAUGUGAUACUGCCUGGAUUCGAACCAGGGACUGUAGUGACGCCUCUUGUACUGAGAUGCAGUGCCUUAGGGCUCCCGAGUGGCGCAGCGGUCUAAGGUAUUUGGUGACGUGAAUAGACAGUAUUUGUGUAGUUUUAUCGAAAAAGGAUACUUUUUAAAAUGUUUAUAAAUUAGUAAUUUGCUGAAAUUCACGAAGUUGGAUUGUUCUCCCGUUCCUCCUCUGAGUAGCCUCCAUAGUCUUUGAAACCAGACCCUAGGCUAGAGCAUUUUAAAAUUGUGGGAGGCAACACGGAUGUCUAGAGAGACUAGUAUACACUGAUGACCGUGGUUGUUGCUGAAGUGGCCUUAGUCAAAAACCCUUAGUAAAUAUUUUGAUGUAUGCAACCAAUAGCUACUAUCUAAUCUCGCCAUUCUUGCUUAUCUUAGUAUUUUAAACCCAAACAAAUGGCAAAAUACAGAUUUGGCGCCUCUAAAUCUGAAUAGAGUUAGGUAGAACCAGCCAACUGUUUUGCAAAUUUGUUAUCCCAGUGUGUAUAGAUUAUGGUACACAGUAGCUGGCUGCAUGCGUGGGGUUGCAGUGUAGACAUGGACAUUGGUUGCAGGUCACGUGGAGCUUUGUGUGUGAGAUGGGUUUUUGGAAUCCAAUAGGGCAACUCCACUAUGACAGAGUGAUGCUGAGACUCAGAUGUUGCACUUUAAAAUGUAUGUCAAACAAAAAACAAUGAUUACAAAGUUAAACAAACCAUACAACUAUAUGCAAAGACUACUUUAACAAUUUCCACUGAAUUUGGAAAUGGUUUGUGCUUUCAUUCUGUUACCGAACUUUGCAUCUGCAGGUGUUUUUCAAGUAUAUGUUUUCCAGAAUCUAUAGUCCUUGUGCAUAGAGCUGUAUGGUUUGUUGAACUUGGCAGUGAUUGGUUUUUGUUUGAAAUGCAUUUUAAAGUAAAAUAUCUGAGUCUCCGCAUCAAUAUGUUACUGUGUUACUGUGGAAUUGCCCAAUACCAAAGAGAUUGGUUGCCAAGAGUAGCAAUUUCAUUUUCAGAAUUGGCAUGGUUCCUCACAGAAUGAGUGAUUGCAUGUUUUGAGGAAAUCAAUGUGACUACCUUCAAGGACAAAGAAAGUUGAGCGCAAACUCCUUGUCAACAUUUGCGGUCUUUGAACACUCACCUACACCCGUAUAUUUAGCUACAGCUGUUACUAACCUUUGUCCUUACAAAAUCUGAUAUCCUUUCUAUAACCUGUGCAUAUCCUGGGAGAGGACAAACUCACCAUUGUGCACAGGUGAUAAGAUGUGUUAUUAUAUGUUCAAGGGCAAGGUAAAUGCCAAUAAAUACAAAGCCAUUCUGAGUGAUCACCUUCAGUUUAUCUAAAUAAUUUAUAUCCUGAUGGGAGUGGAUGACAAUGUACCCAUCCACAGGACACGAGUGGUCACUGAAUGGUUUUAUGAACAUGAAAACGAUGUAAACCAUAUGCCGUGGCGAUCUGUCACCAGAUCUCAACCCAAUCGAACACUUAUGGGAGAUUCUGGCUGAGACGGCGAUUUCCACCACCAUCAACAAAACACCAAAUUAUAGAAUUUCUCUUGGAAGAAUGGUGUCACAUCCCUCCAAUAGAGUUCCAGACCCUAGAAUCUAUGCCAGGCGUAUUGAAGCUGUUCUGGCGGCUCGUGGUGGCCCAGCAUGCUAUUAAGACACUUUAUGUUGGUGUUUCCACUAUUUUGGCAGUUACCUGUAUGUGCCUUCGGCAGACAAAUAUUGUGAAGGGACAAAGAUGUAACACUGGUCUAACCUGUUGCAAAGUCCUACAUAAGAUGCUAUCUGCUGUGUAUCUUUUGCUGAACAGCAUGCUGCUAUGUUGUGGUUAUCACUAGUUGCAUUAGUUGCAUUCUGGCAGAGUUACUUUUCGUAUAUAGGAGGGGGAAACCUUGCAUAGAUUCACUUUCAAUGAAUUCCUCAUUAUCAGGACCUUGUUGUGGCAGCCUGGCAUGACCAUGGCUUGAUGUUUCUUAGGAGAGGUCAUUCAGCCUACUUUGGUUAUAGCAGAACAAUGAAAAUAGUUCAGCCUACCAAUCCACAACCAUCAAUCAUAUGAAGUAUUAGGUGUCCUGCCCUGAACUAAGUCAGAGAGGAAUACUCAGUGUAAUAAUGUUUCAUUUUUAGUGUGCCUCUGACAGAGCACUUACUGACCUCUUGAUCAGGAUGUAAGUACUGGGGUUAUGUCAAAGAGCAAUUCCACCACUUUUCAACCUCAUUUGAAUGAUCUCCGCCACAAUACCAGUGUCUUCAUUUGUGAAAAUGGCACAGUUUUACGUUUUGUAUAAACAAAUAUAAAGUUUUAACAAUUAUGCCCGACAACAACAUCAAAAGUUUAAACAUUUUUAAAUCAGUGAUUUUCAAACACUGAGAUUCCCGGUGACUUGGGGAGCAAGAAAAUACCCUCCCUCUGGCUAGAAACUCAUAGCAAGUUUAGAAAAUCACUGUUUUUCUUACUUUUAAUCCUACCCUGUGAUGUCACAGAGAAUAAAGUUUUAGGACCAUUCUUCCUUUUAACCACAGAUCAUAGAAACGUGCAGUCUUCACAAAUGUAGACACUGGUAUCCCAAGCAUUUCGCUACACCCGCAAUAACAUCUGCUAAAUAUGUAUGUGACCAAUACAAUUUGGUAUGGAGCUGAGGUUGGAAAUUGGUUGAAUUGCCCUUUUAAACACGUCUAUGGUAGUCGUAAAAGAGUGCUUCAUGGAAGAUUAUAGUAUGUUAUAACAUGUUGUCACAACAAAGUCACUUUUUUGCAAAGAAUUUUCAUGGAUUGUCUUUUCUCUCAUUCCAGGUCCAAGGAUUGUUUUUCUUCUGGGCCCCAAUGUUCAAAUCGGUACGGGCUGCAUUUGCUAAGCUUGAGCUAUUGCGUUAACCUAAACGUAAACAUGUAAGAAGGUAUUGUCUAAUGAAACUAAUUCCAGGUCAGAUGCAUCUUCAUCUCUAUAGGGUCUGGUCGGGGCUGGUCUGACAGAAAUGAGUCAACCAGCCGAGAAACCGAGCAUUUCUCUCUCUGGUGUACUGACAGCCACAGGUAUAGUGGAGUUCCUAUAUUCUUCAGUGAGUGACAGGUACAGUUUAAAUUAAUCCUGAAUUCUUCAGUCAAAUAAACAACUUCACUCCUUGACUAAUCCCAUUUCCCACUUUCUCAGGUCUGACAUGGUCCAGAUACUCUUUGGUCAUCCUUCCAAAGAACUGGAACUUCUUUGUCAACUUAUUUGUGGGUAGUGCUGGAAUAUCCCAGCUCUACAGGAUCUUCCAUUAUGAGCAUAGCAAAGGAGGCUGCCCCUGCAGAGUCUUGAGUCUUGAGUCCCACCAAUGCAAUCCAACUCCCUGGACCGAAAGGGAGCCUCAUCACCGGCAGAAACCCAGCCCCUCCAUUCCGCUUCCACCCUUGCUCCAUUUUACAGUAAAAAAAGAAUGUUUCCUUGCUGGAGAUCAUUUCAUUUGCCUGGAUUUCUUCAGGUUUAUAAUGGCAUAUUAACCCUUACCAAAACACACUCAAAUGGUGUCAUCUGCGCACAAUGUUUUAUUUUUACGUUUUACUUUAUGAAACAAGUUGUUUAAUUGUAUAUUCUUAAAUGAAUAUUUAUCAUGCAUUUUUUUGGAAGUGUUGCUUUUUUCCAAACUGUUUUUGUCAUCAUACCUCAUGGUGUGGUUUCCUAAGGAUGAUCUUAAAUCUGUGUUUGAAUGUGGUUAAAAGGAAUGUCUCCAAUAUUUAUUAAAUCAUUUUGGUAACUAUUUCUACAGUCGUACCUGAAGGAUGAUUAAACCAUACAUUCAUGCCA